UUUUUCGCGGUGUAGUUGUCAGCAUACUCGACUCGGAACCGAGAGGUCCGUGGUUCGAUUCCCGGUGGAGACA
rnacentral:tRNA from 1 species